CCAGCAAGAGGAAUCAUAGAAUCAUAGAAGGAAAGGAGACUCACAGAUACACUACUGCAUAAAUGCCAGACUGCUGUAAAAUUCUUUGAGCCACUGCUGUGUUGUACAGUGUUUUAACUGUUGAGUCAGCAUACUUUCGGCAUGGUAACUGACUGAUCAUCCACUUUAAGUUUGUCUGUGGUAACCUGGCACAGAUGGCAAGUUGACUGAUGCCAAAAAUGUAUGUCAGGAUUUAGAGCGGGUAAGAGAGAUAUGGGCAUAUAUUCUGAGAAAUGCUUCAUUUGCUUUUAGUCUGAAAAAUGGGGCACUUUUGAAUAAGAAUGUCUAGAAUUAUC
rnacentral:lncRNA from 1 species